UACGUAGGGUGCGAGCGUUGUCCGGAUUUAUUGGGCGUAAAGAGCUCGUAGGCGGCUUGUCGCGUCGGAUGUGAAAGCCCGGGGCUUAACUCCGGGUCUGCAUUCGAUACGGGCAGGCUAGAGUGUGGUAGGGGAGAUCGGAAUUCCUGGUGUAGCGGUGAAAUGCGUAGAUAUCAGGAGGAACACCGGUGGCGAAGGCGGCUAUCUGGACAGAGUCUGACGCUGAGGCGCGAAAGCUAGGGGAGCAAACAGG
rnacentral:rRNA from 1 species